rnacentral:rRNA from 1 species
UACGGAGGAUCCAAGCGUUAUCCGGAAUCAUUGGGUUAAAGGGUCCGUAGGCGGUUAGUAAGUCAGUGGUGAAAGCCCAUCGCUCAACGGUGGAACGGCCAUUGAUACUGCUAGACUUGAAUUAUUAGGAAGUAACUAGAAUAUGUAGUGUAGCGGUGAAAUGCUUAGAGAUUACAUGGAAUACCAAUUGCGAAGGCAGGUUACUACUAAUGGAUUGACGCUGAUGGACGAAAGCGUGGGUAGCGAACAGG